UGGUAUAAGAUGGACUCGCGUCCGAUUAGCUAGUUGGUGGGGUAACGGCCCACCAAGGCGACGAUCCAUAGCCGGCCUGAGAGGGUGAACGGCCACAUUGGGACUGAGACACGGCCCAGACUCCUACGGGAGGCAGCAGUGGGGAAUAUUGCACAAUGGGGGAAACCCUGAUGCAGCGACGCCGCGUGAAGGAAGAAGUAUCUCGGUAUGUAAACUUCUAUCAGCAGGGAAGAUAGUGACGGUACCUGACUAAGAAGCCCCGGCUAACCACGUGCCAGCAGCCGCGGUAAUACGUAGGGGGCAAGCGUUAUCCGGAUUUACUGGGUGUAAAGGGAGCGUAGACGGUGUGGCAAGUCUGAUGUGAAAGGCAUGGGCUCAACCCGUGGAUUGCAUUGGAAACUGUCAUUCUUAAGUGCCGGAGGGGUAAGCGGAAUUCCUAGUGUAGCGGUGAAAUGCGUAGAUAUUAGGAGGAACACCAGUGGCGAAGGCGGUUUACUGGACGGUAACUGACGUUGAGGCUCGAAAGCGUGGGGAGCAAACAGGGUUAGAAACCCUGGUAGUCCACGCCGUAAACAAAGAAUACUAGGUGUCGGGUGGCAAAGCCAUUCGGUGCCGUCGCAAACGCGGUAAGUAUUCCACCUGGGGAGUACGUUCGCAAGAAUGAAACUCAAAGGAAUAGACGGGGACCCGCACAAGCGGUGGAGCAUGUGGUUUAAUUCGAAGCAACGCGAAGAACCUUACCAAAUCUUGACAUCCCUCUGACCGGUCUGUAAUCGGACCUUCUCUUCGGAGCAGAGGUGACAGGAGGUGCAUGGUUGUCGUCAGCUCGUGUUGUGAGAUGUUGGGCUAGAGUCCCGCAACGAGCGCAACCCCUCUCUUCAGUAGCCAGCAUUUAAGGUGGGCACUCUGGGGAGACCGCCAGGGAUAACCUGGAGGAAGGCGGGGAUGACGUCAAAUCAUCAUGCUCCCUCUGAUUCGGGCUACACACGUGGUACAAUGGGGUAAACAAAGGGAAGCGAGAUCGUGUGAUGGAGCAAAUCCCAAAAAAAACGUCCCAGUUUGGACUGUAGUCCGCAACCCGACUACACGAAGCUGGAAUAGCUAGUAAUCGCGGAUCAGAAUGACGCGGUGCAUAAAGGCCCGUCUCUUGCACU
rnacentral:rRNA from 1 species